AUGAACGCUGGCGGCGUGCCUAAUACAUGCCAGUCGCGCGAACAGACGAGAAGCUUGCUUUUCUGAUGUUAGCGGCGGACGGGUGAGUAACACGUGGAUAACCUACCUAUAAGACUGGGAUAACUUCGGGAAACCGGCGCUAAUACCGGAUAAUAUUUUGAACCGCAUGGUUCAAAAGUGAAAGACGGUCUUGCUGUCACUUAUAGAUGGAUCCGCGCUGCAUUAGCUAGUUGGUAAGGUAACGGCUUACCAAGGCAACGAUGCGUAGCCGACCUGAGAGGAUGAUCGGCCACACUGGAACUGAGACACGGUCCAGACUCCUACGGGAGGCAGCAGUAGGGAAUAUUGCGCAAAGGGCGAAAGCCUGACCGAGCAACGCCGCGUGAGUGAUGAAGGUCUUCGGAUUGUAAAGCUCUGUUGUUAGGGAAGAAAAGAUGUGGAAGUAAAUGUGCAUAUCUUGACGGUACCUAAUCAAAAAGCAACGGCUAACUACGUG
rnacentral:rRNA from 1 species